GAGGGUCAUGACGGUACCGGGAGAAUAAGCACCGGCUAACUUCGUGCCAGCAGCCGCGGUAAUACGAAGGGUGCAAGCGUUAUUCGGAAUUACUGGGCGUAAAGGGUGCGUAGGCGGUUUUUUAAGUCAGAGGUGAAAUCCCGGGGCUCAACCUGGGAACUGCCUUUGAUACUGGCAGUCUAGAGUGUGGGAGAGGUAAGUGGAAUUCCGAGUGUAGCGGUGAAAUUCGUAGAUAUUGGGAGGAACACCAAUGGCGAAGGC
rnacentral:rRNA from 1 species